CUGGUUCACAACUGCCAAUCGCGAUAGGCGCUCACAAGGCGUCUCCGCGAUUCGAGUGGUUGGCUAUGCCGUACUACGCCCUGGCUGCGGAGGCGGAAAUGUAAAAACCCGUUACUUAAGUUGCGUUGUCGCUGCAGCCGCUCAGUCGGCCGGGAGCUACUCCGCAGCCGCCUCGCCUCGGCAGCGUGUCGGUGUUGGUGAUGGCGUUCGCUUGCGGACGCGUCUCACGCGCACAACAGCGGCCGCUGUGCCCCUGCUUAGGGGACUGGAACGAGGCGUGUCGGCAACAACCUUUUUCCGCUUACUCCGGCGAAAGUUAUCGAGAACAAAAAGCUCAAGACUGAUUAUGGGGGAUCACUUAGUCCUUAAAUCGAUGAAAAACAUAGUAAUUUGUGGAAAUUGAUGUGAGUUGUGAAAUUUUGUGAGCAUUGUGUUUUUGAAUGAACAUUUCAGCAUGAGCACUCCUGUUCUCAUGCUACAUUUGUUUCAGUAUAUAACAAAUACCAUGCGUAUUUACCAUUGCCGGGGAGCAAUGGUAGAAAUUGUGGUUUAAUCACGCGAGUGAUGCGACCCUUCAUCGCUGGCCGUUCUGGUUAGCGCCCAAGCAGUGUGUAUCUGAAAUCAAGUGUGACUACCCGCUGAACUUAAGCAUAUCAAUAAGCGGAGGAAUCGGCUACUUGGUCAUUUAGAGGAAGUAAAAGUCGUAACAAGGUUUCCGUAGGUGAACCUGCGGAAGGAUCAUUAUUGAAUAAACCUGAUGUGGUUGUUGCUGGCUCUCUAGGGAGCAUGUGCACGCCCAUCAUCUUUAUAUUUCCACCUGUGCACCUUUUGUAGACCCAGAAGGCUUGAGCAAUCGAGUCGUUUGGGCCUAUGUCUUAUCAUAUACCCCCAUUGUAUGUAUUAGAAUGUAUCAGUGGGCUUCGUGCCUAUAAACACUACUA
rnacentral:misc_RNA from 1 species